rnacentral:rRNA from 1 species
CUACGGGAGGCAGCAGUGGGGAAUAUUGCACAAUGGGCGCAAGCCUGAUGCAGCCAUGCCGCGUGUAUGAAGAAGGCCUUCGGGUUGUAAAGUACUUUCAGCGGGGAGGAAGGGAGUAAAGUUAAUACCUUUGCUCAUUGACGUUACCCGCAGAAGAAGCACCGGCUAACUCCGUGCCAGCAGCCGCGGUAAUACGGAGGGUGCAAGCGUUAAUCGGAAUUACUGGGCGUAAAGCGCACGCAGGCGGUUUGUUAAGUCAGAUGUGAAAUCCCCGGGCUCAACCUGGGAACUGCAUCUGAUACUGGCAAGCUUGAGUCUCGUAGAGGGGGGUAGAAUUCCAGGUGUAGCGGUGAAAUGCGUAGAGAUCUGGAGGAAUACCGGUGGCGAAGGCGGCCCCCUGGACGAAGACCGACGCUCAGGUGCGAAAGCGUGGGGAGCAAACAGGAUUGAUACCCCCGUAGUC